ACGAUGAAGGCAGAAGUGUGAACCACAGUUUCUCUCAGAGAUUUCGAUCGCGUGAUUGUUUCUAAAAAUAUACGAGUACAAGUAAUUCCAUUCGCAAUAAUUUAUGAGUGAAAAUGACCAAUUUAGGAGCCGGCCAAGCGAUGAACGUGAUCCUUUUAGUAGGAGUAACUGUUCUGUCAUGUAUUCUGAUUCAUUAUCUCUUCAAAAUAUUCUUCGGUGGUAAAAAAUCUGAAAAUAAGAAGCAUAAAGCGGAGAGUGAAGUUGCCGUUGUGUCCGACUUGACAGAACCGACAGUGGAGGAAACGCGAACAAUCUUGAAGAACAAGAAGCGAGCACCGUGGAAGACAAAAACCGAAUACACCCAUCCUUGGCUCCUUAAGAAUCUCAAGGGUCACCCGGGAACUGUUCUCAUGAUGGACUUCUCUGCGAACGGCAAGUUCAUGGCAGCUACAUGUGAUGAUGGAUCAGUAUUUCUGUGGGACGUCCGCGACCUGAGCCACAAAGAGCACAAGACAUUGCGAGUCAACAUUGACUUUGACCACGCGUCACACGUGGCAUGGAGUCCCGACUCGAAGGCGUUCAUCGUGCACACGGUGCGGGAAAACAACAUCGUCGUGUAUAAAAUCGAGAAGAAGAAGGACGGCACUAUCGGGUCUGCUACUCCUGUGCUCAGCUUCGAGAAGAUGCACGAAGAUGACGUCGUCGGAUUCGGUAUAUCGAGCAACGGCAAAUUCAUGAUGUCCUGCUCUUCUAAGACGGACAUGGUAAUAUGGGACCUCAAGGGUCAGAUCCUGGAGAGACUGGACACAUAUCUGAUGAACACGUAUAUGGCGAAAAUAUCUCCGUGCGGUCGGUUCGUCGUGGCAACCGGAUUUGCGCCCGAUGUCAAAGUUAUGGAGGUUUGCUUCACGAGGACUGGUGAGAUGAAGCAAGUGGUGAAAGCGUUCGAGCUGACCGGCCAUAGCUCUGGAAUACUGGACGUUGCCUUCGACGUGGACACGUCACAUAUCGCCACCAUCUCUAAGGACGGCACGUGGAAGCUAUACCACACGAGCGUAAAGUACACGCUAGGCGAGUCCCCCCACGUGCUGGAGACAGGCCGGUACACUCAGAGCAGUAACCCGCCGCGGAUAGCUCUCUCGCCCAACGCUGAAGUGCUGGCUGUCACCUGCGACAACAGCGUGGAGUUCUACGAUACGUACACGGGGAAGCUGUUCGAUACCGUCGACAAUAUCUACUCGGGUAUUAUAAACCAUUUGUGCUUCGACGCCUCCGGUAAGUAUCUGUACGUGUGCGGCGACCGCGUGGUCAGAAUAUUCCACAACGUGUGCGGUUACUUCACCAGCGCGGAGAGUUGCAGGCGACUCCUGGCCACAAAGCAGACCUCGGCUACCGUGGAGAGACUCACCAAGACUAUACAAGACUGCAACGACACGCUCGCCAAGUUUGGAAAGUGAUUCCUGACAAUAUAACGUUACUUUUUACAUAUUUUGUAGUGUAUUUUACUUAGAGUGUCUAACCAAAUGGAGGAGAUUUUAUACGGACAGCUUGAAUCAAAGCAAUAACAUAAAACAUACAAUCACUACUCACUUGCUGGUGAUGACAUCUUCACUCGCUCCAAUUUUAUAGAAGCAAGUAUUUAUGGAAAGUAUUAGCAAGUAAAGCGCAGCCGCAUACAUACGUUUUUCAAUUCGCUUUUCCGAAUUGGAAAAUCGUAUAGGAUCCUUGAUUUGAUUGUAGAAGGUCUGUUGAAGCACAUCCAUCAAGCUUUUUCACAUAUAUAAUAGAUAUUAAAAUGUCCAAAAUUGAUAGACGAUGCGUGUUUCGCUUCUCCGAAAACGCUCCUCUGAAUAUUACGCCCCCAACACUAAUUACACAAACACAACACUACUCUGUUCUUUCAUAAUUCCAAUGACUUGUCCUUUUGGUUGAAUACUCUAAUAUUGAUGACCCUCAAGUAUUUUUAUUUUAUUUUGUAUUCAUUUUAAAAUUUAACUCCUAAUUAUCAGUUCUUAAUAAUUUUGAUGUGAAAUUACACAUAUUGUAAUCUUUGCUGGUGCAAUUUUUUUUCUUUGUUAAGUAAGUACAUCAAAUUAUUAAGUGUAUUAUUAUUACAAAGUUAUUUAUAGUUUUAAGAUUUAAACUGUCAUUAGUACAGGUUAGUAUUAAAGGAAACAGGAGAUUGUUUUGUGUUCCUAAGUUCUGAAAUUAUUUGUGUGCGAAGCAUUUAUGGAGGCAUUUAGAUAUGUUUAUAUAAGAAAUCUAUUUUUACUACAAUUUGUCAUAUUAUUAGUGAAUUAUUUGAGACUGUAAACCUUAUAAACAUGCUCGAAGUUGACAAUAUUUAAUCUCUUCAUUGCUCAUACUUCAAGUGCAAAAAAAAUAUUAUGUUUAACAAAGAAUGAAAAGUUUUGGUCUUGUUGUUGUGGCCGGAAUGUGAUAAUAUUGGAUCGUAUCGGGGUCUGCUACGCUUUAGAUCUGUUUGUAGUGUGCACUAAGAUGAAAUCAUUUUAAUGGGUUUUGUCGUUUUUGACCGACAGCGAUUAAUAUGUGCGUUCUCUCAUAAAGAGGUUAUUGAGGAGAAUAUUAUGUAGGUUUAGGUAUCUGAUAUCAAAUUGAGAAUGCUACUUCAUACCAGUACAUUGUUAACAAUUUCGGCAUAUAGUAAUUUUGAUUCGGAGAGUAUAUAUUAAUUCAUUCAGUUUUAUUUAACUAAAAUAAAAGUACGUGUCUCAUUUCACCAAGAGCUAAAAUAUUUUUGAUCUCUUGGUUUGUUUAAUAAAGUUUAUGUCAAGUAA